rnacentral:lncRNA from 10 species
UGGCCCCCUGCUGAGCCAGAGUGACCCCUACAACCGGUCCAGGGGUCCACGGACCAGAAGGCCAGGUUCUCCUGGAGGUCCCAUCUCCCCUGGGCCUCGGUUUCCCCUUCUGUGACUCCACACCCCCAAGGAGGGCCCUGUCAGGGAGGGCGGGGGGCACUGGUUAAUGUCCAGGACAUGGCUGUCCCAGUCAAGCCAAACCCCUGGAAUGUGCUGAACUGGCUACACUGAGCGGGGCUGGCCUCCGAGACAGAGGGGCCUGCCGAGGACACGGAGGCUCUGUGGAACCCAGGGAACUGGUCACACUGAGGACACGGAGGCUCUGUGGAACCCAGGGCCUGGCCACACUGAGCACGGCUGGUCCCCCAAGACAGAGGGACCUCCUGAGGACACAGAGUCUCUGUGGAACCCAGGGCCUGGCCACAUGGAGGACACGGAGGCUCUGUGGAACCCAGGGCCUGGCCGUGGCAAGGAAGCCCCAAGCCAAGUGUGUGUCAGCCUUGUCCUCUCUGUGGGCCUCAGUUUCCCCUCUGUGCAACAAGGGGAGUGACCAGCUGGUUUCUGGAGUCUCCUCCUCUCCCUCUCUGUCCCCAGGGGUGGGCCUGGGCCUCAUGUCUGCAGGGGGUGCUGACACCUGCUCCUGUGGUCCGGGCCUUGGGGAGGGAGCCAAGUGCAGAGAGAAUGUCUUGCUUGUGCCUGCUCAGCCCAGAGGGACACAUGGCGUCUGCACCUGCUUCCCGCUUGGGCACAAUUGCCCUUUGAGAGCAGAGCCAGGGGCUUCUUGGGGACGGAAGCUGCUCUCAGAAGCCGCGCACUGGUGGUGGGGGAGCGGCAGGAAGGGGCCGGCCAGCUGUCCUAGCCAAGAGCCUUUCAGGAACCGGUGGCCCAGGGCAGAGGUGGCUGGAGGUGGAGCUGUCUGUUUGGGCCUCAGGUGUCGGGGCAAGGCCUGCUUGGGUUUUACACGAGUGUUGCGCCUUUACCCGGGUCUCUGUCAGUGGGUC